rnacentral:tRNA from 1 species
GCCGGGGUGACUCAGUCGGUUAAGUGUCCAACUUUAGCUCAGGUCACAAUCUCAUGGUUUGUGGGUUCGAGUCCCACAUCCGGCU